rnacentral:rRNA from 1 species
ACUCCUACGGGAGGCAGCAGUGGGGAAUCUUGGACAAUGGGCGCAAGCCUGAUCCAGCCAUGCCGCGUGAGUGACGAAGGCCUUAGGGUCGUAAAGCUCUUUCAGCUGUGAAGAUAAUGACGGUAGCAGCAGAAGAAACCCCGCUAGCUACCGUGCCAGCAGCCGCGGUAAUACGGAGGGGGUUAGCGUUGUUCGGAAUUACUGGGCGUAAAGCGCGCGUAGGCGGAUUAGUCAGUCAGAGGUGAAAUCCCAGGGCUCAACCCUGGAACUGCCUUUGAUACUGCUAGUCUUGAGUUCGAGAGAGGUGAGUGGAAUUCCGAGUGUAGAGGUGAAAUUCGUAGAUAUUCGGAUGAACACCAGUGGCGAAGGCGGCUCACUGGCUCGAUACUGACGCUGAGGUGCGAAAGCGUGGGGGAGCAAACAGGAUUAGAUACCCUGGUAGACAUCAC